rnacentral:rRNA from 1 species
CAAUAGCGUAUAUUAAAGUUGUUGCAGUUAAAAAGCUCGUAGUUGGAUUUCUGGUGGGAGCGAUCGGUCUGGCGCUUAGCGCGAGUACUUGCAUCGUCUCCGGCCAUCCUUGGGGAGAGUCUGUCUGGCAUUAGGUUGUCGGGCAGAGGAUCCUCAUCGUUUACUGUGAAAAAAUUAGAGUGUUCAAAGCAGGCUUAUGCCGUUGAAUAUAUUAGCAUGGAAUAAUAAGAUAGGACUUUGGUACUAUUUUGUUGGUUUGCGCACCAAAGUAAUGAUUAAUAGGGGCAGUUGGGGGUAUUCGUAUUCCGUUGUCAGAGGUGAAAUUCUUGGAUUUACGGAAGACGAACCACUGCGAAAGCAUUUACCAAGGAUGUUUUCAUUAA